UACGUAGGGGCAAGCGUUGUUCGGAAUUACUGGGCGUAAAGGGCGCGUAGGCGGCACGGCAAGUCAGGAGUGAAAGCCCUGGGCUCAACCCGGGAACUGCUUUUGAAACUGCCGGCUAGAGUGCGGAAGGGCAACUGGAAUUCCCAGUGUAGCGGUGAAAUGCGUAGAUAUCGAGAGGAACACCUGCGGCGGAAGGCGGGUUGCUGGGCUGACACUGACGCUGAUGCGGCGAAAGCUAGGGGAGCGAACGGGG
rnacentral:rRNA from 1 species